GAUAUUGGCUUCUGUAAAACACUCUUCUGCACUGAGAAGAUCAUUUUCCUGAAAAGAGCAUGAAGUUCUAUCUACUUAUAAUCAUUGGACACAUAGGAAGACCUCAUUCUUGCGAAAAUGAUUCCCAAGCUAGAUGCUGCCACCAUCAAAAAGAGGGUGUGCAGCUAUCUCAAAUGCCAAGGCAUCUUCAACCCACUAAAAUAUCAGAAAUAAUCAACAAUUUCAAAAGUACCUAUUCGAUCAGAAGGAAAAUUCGCAUUUGGAUUUAGAAUAACAAUUUCAAGCCUUAUCCCAAAUUUUAUGUUGAUCGCGUUACAAAAACCAAAGAAAAAUUAAGAAGACUAUCUGGAAAAAUUACCCAAUAUUUCCGAGACCACUAAACUGAUGGAGUUGAGAUUUUGAGUGCAGAUAUAAAACAAUUUCAAGCUGAUCAUCAGAACCAUAAAAAAAUCAAGAUUAAUGUUGGGUAAGAAAUAGCCAAUAUGUAUAUCCGUGACAGGGAUUCUGCGUGUACAAAUAUAAUUAUUAGAUUUUCUUAAGACCUG